UCAUCCUUUUUAUGCUUGAUCAUUUCCAUGGUUUGGUCCUUUUAACUAGGGUGAGUACAAACUAAGAAAAUCAACAAUAUAUCACUCUAAGAGCUUACUAGUAAUCUCAUUACCAUUAUUUGAGCAAUUGUAGUUGGGUCCUGGAUGACCGUUAAUGGUGAAUGCGUCUGUUGGUGGAGGACUACCACCACUUGAUAGAACAUCAUGCUCAAGUUGCACAAGGUCCUUCAGCCAAUAUUCUCCUGUGUAGGUGUUUCCUUCUGAUGGCUUGGUGAUUGGUGAAGCUCGACAGGGGCACUCCUUUGCUUAGUGACGGAGGUGUUGGCUUUUAGAUUCAUUUCCAUGAACGAAAGAAAGGUACGCGAAACGGAAAAAGUCACCCUAAAAAUUGUUAAAAAGUAAAUUUCAUAGGAAUGGUUCAGCCAUGUUCUUGCAGGGAAUUCUUAAUGGUCAAUUGUUUUUGUUCUUAUUAUUCAUUCUAACCUUGUUGAUAGAACUUGGAUACAGACGUUUACCUCUUUGGGUUAAUUGUUUUUUGGUGUGAAAUGGAGGAAGGGUUUUAGUGA